rnacentral:lncRNA from 1 species
UUUUUAAGAUGAUGCUUGGAGGAAGCAUCUUCAAGCACCCUUUUAAUAUAGUAAAUACUGACGCUUCAAAAAAUAUCGUCAUAUAAAUUUUUUAUUGUAUCAAACUAAUUUAUUAAAUAAUAAAUUUUUUAAAAUUUUUUUGAUGCUUUUAAAAGUAUUAGGAUUUUUAAAAUUUUUAAUAUAUUCUAUCGCUUGGCAUAAGAAUCAGUAUACAAGCAGCAACUCUUUAUUUACCGGCGCUUUUUCAAAUGUGACGCUAGAUUAUAUUAAAACGCUUUUAAAUAUCGUUAAAU